UUGCAGGUAACUUGUGGUCUCCUCAACUGAGAUAUUCAAUAUCAUUGUAGGUUCUGUGGGAAGUAUUGUACUGAUUUUUAAGUCGUCUGAUUACUUUUCUCCUGCAUGUCUUUCAUCCACUUAUCAUACACAAUCUUUUUAUCUGAAUUAUCUGAAAACUUGGAUGCAUAAUACCAAAUCUAGGGCAAUUGAUGCAAGUUUUAUGGACUGUAAAUCCCUUUCGUACAUGUUGAGUAUGUUUUAGGUUGAACUGCAAAGGUUUGUGAACUAAUUCUGUAACUUGUUAAUGAAACAGAAAGUUAAUUAUUAUGCGGUAUGUUAUGUCUUUUCACAAGCUCACUCAGUUCUGCCUUUAUUGUGGCCAGUUUUGCUUUAAAUAGUUAUUAUACGAUAUUAUAUCUGAUGUGUGAAGUUUUUUUAUUUCGUGGAUGCGGGCCACAACCAAAUCGAAAGAUUUCAAAGAACUAUGGCAUUGUUGAUGAAGAUAACCUUAAAACUUAGUUCAUUCUGACAGGUUUGUUUGUCAGCUUACUUUUUUCUCCAUUUCUUUAGUCUUCCGGGCGUGGGAUUUAAUGGUUACCCUCUCUUGUUUCUUUGUCAUGUAAAAUGUUAUGCACGACUGGUGUCUCUUGGCAAAAAAGAAGAAGCCGUUUGCGAGACAUCUGAGAUGCAAUCUGUAAUUUGUUCUCAGGGCCCCAUAUUGCCAGAGUUUCAGGAAAUGAUCAAGCUACUGAUUGUCAAUAAUCCUGUAAACAAAGAUGUAGCAAGCACUUGGAACUGGCAAUUUGGAAGUGGGGCAUGAACUAGGUAUAUGUAUCCCUACUAGAAAACCUUAGAAGUACAGUGAACCAGAAACACAAAACUCCACUGCCUAAUGACGAGAAAGAUAUGAAAAAUGAAAAAUUGAGAGUUUUCUUUUUAAAGAAAGUUUUCUUCUUGUUUUUGUCGACAUGAAGAGAUUCUGCUCAUCAGUUUCGUUUUGUGUUGUACUGGAAAUAUGGUCUCUAUUUUCCUGCUAGAUAUUUCCUUUUUUUUUUUUCUAGGUUGAUCUUCAAAUGCUUUUCCGCCAUCUCACAGGCUAAUCACCUGACUUCAUUUGUAGAUGGGAAGUUGUGGCACUUGGAAUAAUGGAGGAACAUAAAUCUCCAGAAAUACUUUCGGAGUAUUACUUUGUGACUUGAGACUAAACACUUGCACGUUCUGUAUAAAUUGUUUGAAUUGCAAUAUAAAUUAAGGAUAUUUUUCUGUUAUUUCCCUAUUUUUUAUUUUUGGUGUUCGGAUGUCUCUGGCACUAACACAAUGUGAAUUAUGUAAGAUAAGAUCGUGUGUUGUAUCUUUACUAAUAAAUUUGUUUUACUUUUAUCUUUUGCAGCCAAGGGACAUACUAGACGCACAGUUUGGAGGAGCUCUUGCAGUGUGAGUGUUCACAUGCAUCUUCAGUAAACAAGACUUGGAUUAGGCACGCAAAGGAAGUGUAGUUGUGCUUCCGAAACUUUGUUGGAGCUUCGUACUCUGCUAUGCGAAUGCUUUUAUAUGUUCUGAUACUUGCUAAUUAUAUUGAUAUGUCGCUGUUAUCAACUCUAGUAGAAUCCAUAAUCAAGAUAAAUGUAAACUAUGUUGAUUUUGUAAGAAAUUGUUGGAUUCAAUGCCAUGUUAAGAAUUUUAAUUAAGAUUAUUUCAC